ACUGGAAAGAAGAAAACAUCCAUCCCAUAGUUGGUUACAAGUUCAAAACAAACCAAAUAAAAAAAAACAAACUUAAAAACCAAAUAAAAACUAAAAUAAAGGAUAAAACUAAUAAUCAACCUCAUCCCCUUGUGCUCCGCUCGUUCUGGAUCCAUCUCCACGUCUUGUCCUAUACUCACUCCAUGUCAGACAAAAUGGAUAGUGAUCUCACAAAUGUGGUGGUUGUGUAACGUUGAAGUGCUGGAUCAUACUCUCCAUCUUCCCUCCAAUCCAAUUCAUGAUUAAGGUCAUUUGCUCAAAAUAACCAGCCAUAGUAUCCUCGCCAAAAGUAGUAGCUCCCAUUGGUGCAUUCUGAUGCACUGGUUGUCCUCUCUCGCCACACCCACCCUUACAUUGCUCUUUCCCCUUGGAUGCGGCUGCUCUUCUUGUUGAUCAACGGGUUGCUCAAUAUCUUCUGUGGAUAUAGUGAGGACAUUGGUGCCUUCGACCUUGGUGCCUUCGACCCUGUUAGUAUAGUGAGGACAACUCACCUCAUAAUGUCGGUCAGAACUGAAAUAUCAAACUCCCAAAACACGGUUCCAAACACCAACACCUACAACCAACAAUGAUCCACUUCCAUAAAUACCUAAAUUACCAAAAUACCCUCAUAAGUCAAACUGGUCAACCCUUAGUCAAAGUCAAAGUCAACAAUCAAGGUCAACAAUCCAUGUUUACCCAACUCAUCAAGUGUAGCUUACAGACUCGUCGAGUUCCUUUAGAACUCAGAAUGUCGCGAAAACCCUAGUCAACUCGCCAAGUUACCAAAUAACUCGUUGAGUCCAUGCAGCAUCCAGAAUAUCGGGAAAACAUUAACAUUAAGACCUUCUACAAGAUGCAUGGAGCAAUCCUAAUCAAUGGGGCUCCAUUUUUAUGGCUAACGACCCCUCCUAGGGUCUGAAAGGACAACACAAGACGUCCAAAACAUGCCAUGAUCAAGAUGAGACUUUUGGGACCAAAAAGGGACACAAAAACACCCAUAAAAAAUCUAGCAAACUAGCCAUCAAGGUAUGAACUUUAUACCUUGAAACGAUGGUAGCUGGUGCAAAACUUCCAGAUCCAAGAUGCUUCUUCCCUCCAAGAUGAGCAUGGUUCCUUCCUUCUUCUCUAAGCACAAAAACUCACACUUUAAUACUUGAAAUGGCUUCACAAGGUGGUUUUAGGGUUAUAAUAACAAAAAAGAGGGUGAAGGCUGUCAAGGUGAAAGGAAAUGAGGCCAUAAGGAUGCUUAAAUACCAGCCAAACCCUAAAGUUUAGGGUUUCCUCAUUUAGCAAGUACACCCCGCAUACAUAGAUGUACACCCAGCGUACAUACUAAUAUGCAUGGCGUACUCCUCCCUGCUGAAAUUACGAAAAUGCCACUAGGGCUCCAAUACACAAUUUCUUGGAUUUAAGGACCAAAAUGCAAUAUAAUAAAAUUAAAGGAUUGAAAUUUAAAGUACCUUAACAUCAGGAUGUUACAUUUUUGGUUAAUCGUCAUCGUUUUUAAAUAUUAAAUAAUUUUAAUAAUAAUUUUAAACAUAAUUAGGUUGAAAAAACAUAUCAUUUAUGAUAUACAUACUUAUGUUAGUUAAUUUCUAAAGCCAAACUUUUGAGUGAAAGAAAAAAUUUGUUGUCUAAUUUAUGUACAUUAGUUUAUAAAGUUAAAAAGUCAAAUACAGAGACAACACUUGCCUUCAUAUUAAAUUUGUAAUUCCCAGGGUAUAUGGGAGAUGUUAGGCCAGUAGGAGCCUCUUCAACUCCUUUUUUCUUUUGUUUCCAACCACAUCAAAUAUCUAAGAUUUAGUCUUCCCCUAAAAUGGUAUGUAAUUGGAACCCUUUUCUUGUUUUUGUUUUCCAGGUACAUUGAGUCCAAAAUCCGUAGGAGUCACACGUAAUUGAUGCAAGCCCAGUCCCAGUUCAUCCUUGUGUGUGGUCAGUUUUAACCCAAAUCAGAAAACAACAGAACCAAACUUGUUAACAUGAUGAAUUAAACCCAUCGAUAUAUACUAACCAUAACUUGGCGGUUACCUUGAAACCUGUUGCAACCAUUACCACCAAUUAUAUCGCCAGAAUUAGCCACGUCCCUUUGAGAUAUAGUGCAUGUCUGUCAUUGCCUUUAUAGAGCUCCUUAUCCACUUAUUCUAAUAACGCCCUUCUCAAUUCCCCAAAAUAUCUUGCAAAACCAAAAUACACGACCCCAUAAGAGUAGUUAGGAGUGAAAAAUUAAAUAUAUUCUUAACAAUUGAGUAAGAAUUGUACACAACACCAAGAAAAAUAGAAAUUCAUAAACGUUUAUGUUUCUUGAAUGGAACCUGAUAUGACAAAAAAGAAAAAAAUUGAAUCUGGAAAUCAUAGACGUUAUUUUAAUCAAACGGAUGACACUGAAUCGUAAGUGUAAUUUGGGUUUUGAAAUAAUGAAAGUAACAAUCGAUACCAACCUAGUCAAGUAACAG
rnacentral:lncRNA from 1 species